rnacentral:rRNA from 1 species
AUGCAUGCGUGGAGUGGCCACUGCUGCCCACCUCCACUCGGCCGGGCCACUGGUAUAGUAUAUAUACGCCCCUCCGCUAUCCCUCUCUCUUGUGCACAACUCUUAAGGUUAAACACAGGAGCUAUGGGGGAUCCCAUAACCUACAAAGACCGAAAGACGGAUUUGACUGCAGUACCUCGUGGGGAAGUAACACCUUCAGAGCCAUGUCAAGAGGAUGAAGCACAAGAGAAUCGGCGUAAGAAUAUCGAAGAUUAUGUCAAACAGCUGAGCCCAAAACUUCUGGAUGAUUUCAAAAGAACAUUCCCGCAGAAACGUCUCGAUGAUUUUGAAAAAACAUGCCUGCAGCGUAACAAUUCAAGUGAUCCAAUUUGCUUGGAAGAAUGUAAAAUCACAUUGGUCGCUACCCUUGUUCUGAAGGGCGUUCCCCAGCAUGUGAAAGAACAAUAUGAGUUGAGGCUUACGUCAGGAGAAGUGCGUAUCAUCAAGAAGCUGGAAAAUGUACCCCUCACUCACCUAUCCGGGGAUCAGAGCAUGACCGAGGACCGUACUCAUACUUCACCGGAAACAUCAGUCCAUACCGCAAAUAAUACAAAGGAAGCGACACCAUCUUCCCACACGAGGGACUCACCAACGGUUUCCCCGACUGCUGUCAGCACCACGGUCGGCCUGUCUCAUCUCUCGUUGUCAUAG